rnacentral:tRNA from 1 species
GGAGACGUAUCGAAGUGGUCGUAACGAGAACGACUCGAAAUCGUUUUGUCUAGAGAUAGGCACGUGGGUUCGAAUCCCACCGUCUCCG